CAGUAGCCGCGGUAAUACGUAGGUGGCAAGCGUUGUCCGGAAUUAUUGGGCGUAAAGCGCGCGCAGGCGGAUAGGUCAGUCUGUCUUAAAAGUUCGGGGCUUAACCCCGUGAUGGGAUGGAAACUGCCAAUCUAGAGUAUCGGAGAGGAAAGUGGAAUUCCUAGUGUAGCGGUGAAAUGCGUAGAUAUUAGGAAGAACACCAGUGGCAAAGGCGACUUUCUGGACGAAAACUGACGCUGAGGCGCGAAAGCCAGGGGAGCGAACGGGAUUAGAUACCCGCGUAGUCCCUGUCUCUUAUACA
rnacentral:rRNA from 1 species